CCUGGCGGCGAUAGAGCGGUGGUCCCACCUGACCCCAUACCGAACUCAGAAGUGAAACGCCGAUGCGCCGAUGGUAGUGUGGGGCUUCCCCAUGUGAGAGUAGGACACCGCCAGGU
rfam:Azospirillum sp. 51_20 Ley3_66761_scaffold_12354, whole genome shotgun sequence.